rnacentral:rRNA from 1 species
GAUGAACGCUGGCGGCGUGCCUAAUACAUGCAAGUCGAGCGAACAGACGAGGAGCUUGCUCCUCUGACGUUAGCGGCGGACGGGUGAGUAACACGUGGAUAACCUACCUAUAAGACUGGGAUAACUUCGGGAAACCGGAGCUAAUACCGGAUAAUAUAUUGAACCGCAUGGUUCAAUAGUGAAAGACGGGUUUGCUGUCACUUAUAGAUGGCUCCGCGCCGCAUUAGCUAGUUGGUAAGGUAAUGGCUUACCAAGGCAACGAUGCGUAGCCGACCUGAGAGGGUGAUCGGCCACACUGGAACUGAGACACGGUCCAGACUCCUACGGGAGGCAGCAGUAGGGAAUCUUCCGCAAUGGGCGAAAGCCUGACGGAGCAACGCCGCGUGAGUGAUGAAGGUCUUCGGAUCGUAAAACUCUGUUAUUAGGGAAGAACAAAUGUGUAAGUAACUAUGCACGUCUUGACGGUACCUAAUCAGAAAGCCACGGCUAACUACGUGCCAGCCGCCGCGGUAA